rnacentral:rRNA from 1 species
CCUACGGGCGGCAGCAGUGGGGAAUAUUGGACAAUGGGGGCAACCCUGAUCCAGCCAUGCCGCGUGUGUGAAGAAGGCCCUCGGGUUGUAAAGCACUUUCAGUGAGGAAGAACGCCUGGUGGUUAAUACCCAUCAGGAAAGACAUCACUCACAGAAGAAGCACCGGCUAACUCCGUGCCAGCAGCCGCGGUAAUACGGAGGGUGCGAGCGUUAAUCGGAAUUACUGGGCGUAAAGCGCGCGUAGGUGGCUUGAUAAGCCGGUUGUGAAAGCCCCGGGCUCAACCUGGGAACGGCAUCCGGAACUGUCAAGCUAGAGUGCAGGAGAGGAAGGUAGAAUUCCCGGUGUAGCGGUGAAAUGCGUAGAGAUCGGGAGGAAUACCAGUGGCGAAGGCGGCCUUCUGGGCUGACACUGACACUGAGGUGCGAAAGCGUGGGUAGCAAACAGGAUUAGAUACCCGGGUAGUC